UGGGGAAUAUUGCACAAUGGGCGCAAGCCUGAUGCAGCCAUGCCGCGUGUGUGAAGAAGGCCUUCGGGUUGUAAAGCACUUUCAGCGAGGAGGAAGGUGGUGAGCUUAAUACGCUCAUCAAUUGACGUUACUCGCAGAAGAAGCACCGGCUAACUCCGUGCCAGCAGCCGCGGUAAUACGGAGGGUACAAGCGUUAAUCGGAAUUACUGGGCGUAAAGCGCACGCAGGCGGUUUGUUAAGUCAGAUGUGAAAUCCCCGGGCUCAACCUGGGAACUGCAUUUGAAACUGGCAAGCUAGAGUCUCGUAGAGGGGGGUAGAAUUCCAGGUGUAGCGGUGAAAUGCGUAGAGAUCUGGAGGAAUACCGGUGGCGAAGGCGGCCCCCUGGACGAAGACUGACGCUCAGGUGCGAAAGCGUGGGGAGCAAACAGGAUUAGAUACCCUGGUAGUCCACGCUGUAAACGAUGUCGAUUUUGGAGGUUGUGCCCUUGAGGCGUGGCUUCCGGAGCUAACGCGUUAAAUCGACCGCCUGGGGAGUACGGCCGCAAGGUUAAAACUCAAAUGAAUUGACGGGGUC
rnacentral:rRNA from 1 species